UGAAUCAAAACUCCAACCAUCUGUAGGAGGGUCUGGAUGGAUAAAGGAUGCCCACUGGAGCUGGAAAUGAUGGAUCAGGUGGAUCCACACUUUAACCAUCUGUAUGAUGAUCUGCACCCACUGGAGCUGUAAAUGGUGAUGGGACACACUUAGCAUGCGUAAAAAUUUCAAUCCAGAACAUGAUGCACGAUGGGAUGCACAAAGUGAUAUUUGGACGCAGCCUCAGUCUGUCAGAUCAAAGAGACAUACAGAAUGCACAGAGCAGUGGGACUCCAUGAACACAGUUCAGAACCACUGGUGUAACUUAUUAUGCUUACCUGA